CGCGUAGGCGGAAGAUCAAGUCAGGGGUGAAAGGCCUGGGCUCAACCCGGGAAUUGCCUUUGAAACUGGUUUUCUAGAGUACGGGAGAGGAUGGCGGAAUUCCCAGUGUAGAGGUGAAAUUCGUAGAUAUUGGGAAGAACACCGGUGGCGAAGGCGGCCAUCUGGCCCGGUACUGACGCUAAGGCGCGAAAGCGUGGGGAGCAAACAGGAUUAGAUACCCUGGUAGUCC
rnacentral:rRNA from 1 species